AUUGAACGCUGGCGGCAGGCCUAACACAUGCAAGUCGAGCGGAUGAAGGGAGCUUGCUCCUGGAUUCAGCGGCGGACGGGUGAGUAAUGCCUAGGAAUCUGCCUGGUAGUGGGGGAUAACGUCCGGAAACGGGCGCUAAUACCGCAUACGUCCUGAGGGAGAAAGUGGGGGAUCUUCGGACCUCACGCUAUCAGAUGAGCCUAGGUCGGAUUAGCUAGUUGGUGGGGUAAAGGCCUACCAAGGCGACGAUCCGUAACUGGUCUGAGAGGAUGAUCAGUCACACUGGAACUGAGACACGGUCCAGACUACUACGAGAGGCAGCAGUAGGGAAUAUUGGACAAUGAGCGAAAGCCUAAUCCAGACAUGACGCAUGUGUGAAGAAGAUCUUCGGAUAGUAAAGCACUUUAAGUGGGGAGGAAGAGCAGUAAGUUAAUACCUUGCUGGGUUGACGUUACCAACAGAAUAAGCACCGGCUAACGUCGUG
rnacentral:rRNA from 1 species